GGAGAGGUGGCUGAGUGGUUGAUGGCACUACUCUCGAAAAGUAGCAUACGGUUUACGUAUCGGGGGUUCGAAUCCCCCCCUCUCCGCCA
rnacentral:tRNA from 3 species